UCCAGCAGCCGCGGUAAUUCCAGCUCCAAUAGCGUAUAUUAAAAUUGUUGCAGUUAAAAAGCUCGUAGUUGAAUUUCUGCUAAAAAUAACCGGUCUGCUUUUAAUAAAGGUGGUAUCUUGGUGUGUUUUUAGCAAUAAUGUCCUUUGAAAUGUUUUUUACUUCAUUGUAAUAAAUUAUAUUCAGGAUUUUUACUUUGAGAAAAUUAGAGUGUUUCUAGCAGGCUAACGCUUUGAAUACUGCAGCAUGGAAUAAUAAAAUAGGAUUUUGGUUCUACAUUAUUGGUUUUAAGAGCUAAAUUAAUGAUUGAUAGGGACAGUUGGGGGCAUUUGUAUUUAACUGUCAGAGGUGAAAUUCUUAGAUUUGUUAAAGACAAACUACUGCGAAAGA
rnacentral:rRNA from 1 species